rnacentral:rRNA from 1 species
AGUGAACGCUGGCGGUAGGCCUAACACAUGCAAGUCGAACGGCAGCACAGUAAGAGCUUGCUCUUACGGGUGGCGAGUGGCGGACGGGUGAGGAAUACAUCGGAAUCUACUUUUUCGUGGGGGAUAACGUAGGGAAACUUACGCUAAUACCGCAUACGACCUACGGGUGAAAGCAGGGGAUCUUCGUACCUUGCGCGAUUGAAUGAGCCGAUGUCGGAUUAGCUAGUUGGCGGGGUAAAGGCCCACCAAGGCGACGAUCCGUAGCUGGUCCGAGAGGAUGAUCAGCCACACUGGAACUGAGACACGGUCCAGACUCCUACGGGAGGCAGCAGUGGGGAAUAUUGGACAAUGGGCGCAAGCCUGAUCCAGCCAUACCGCGUGGGUGAAGAAGGCCUUCGGGUUGUAAAGCCCUUUUGUUGGGAAAGAAAAGCAGCAGGUUAAUACCCCGCUGUUCUGACGGUACCCAAAGAAUAAGCACCGGCUAACUUCGUG